AAGACUGUGCUUCAUAGGAUCAUUUCUAUAGGCAAGUUUUCACUUCUUCUUUCCCGAAAGAGGAGUUUAUCCAACCCACGAUGAUGAGUG
rnacentral:snoRNA from 1 species